AUUUUAUAUUUAUCUAGACAUUUACCAUUUGUUGCUCUUGCGUAAUUUCCAGAGGUCCACGUUUCUUUCUGUUAUCAUUUCCCUUCAGUAUGAGCAACUUCCUUUAGCAUUUCUUGUAGACCCUGUAGAAGAACUUGGAAGACACAGCUUUACCUGAAAAUCUCGAAUGGUCUUCCUGGAGCAACCGAGGCUAUGGAGAACAGUUUCUGGACGGCGGCUUUCCCUCUGGAUUAUGAACUGAUGAACCUAGAAGGGAAACUUCCUGCUACAAUAACACAGCAAGGCGAUGUGAUGAACACUUUUAUUUACAAAUAUAAUUAAAAGCUCUGACAGUUAUCAUGCUCUUCCUUGGAACCUGAAAAAUGUUUUUGUUUUUGUUUUUAAAGUGCAUGCAAAAGAAGUAAAGCCUUUUUUUUUCCAUCAUUUUUUAUUGUAAGAAAAUACACAGUUUGAAAGUGUGAAUAAUGCAAUAUUUAUGACCAAGAUAUGGGACUUAGGGAGGGGAAGGGAAAUAAAGAAAAAGAUCAAGAUGAUCUGAUUGAGAGACAGUGUUGAACUCCAAAUACUGAAUUGGAAAAGGAGGGAGGUGGGGAGGCAUAGGAGGAGGAAGUAAAAAAAUUUGAUCAGAGAAACAGUUAAAAUACAAUAUGAAAAUAAGUAAUACCUCUCCUUAAAUUCCUUCUAUACACAAAAUACACGAUUUGCCAAAGCCCAAUUUGUGCUACUGGGAUUCUGUGAGCUCCUUAAGUGUAUUCACAUCCUCUGCAACAGCAGAAAAUGAUUAUGAUACAAUCAGAAUAUGCUGAAGACAAGUUAAACUCUUGCCAGCAGGUUCUUAAAAAUCACAAGAUCUCUUCACCCCACCCACCCACCCAUCCCCAAAAAAGUAAUAAUAUGUCACCACUGAUAUGUACAUCACAAUUAGUUUCUGUAAAAUGUAUCAAAUUUUCAAUCUUUAAUAAAACUUUGUUUUUUUUUUAAUUCCUGAUGAAUAAAUACCAAAAAAAUAAAAUAAAAUAAAAUAAUGCAGCAGCUAGUUAAGGUGUAAGGCUGCGGAUAUUGUGUCUCUCUCCCCCUUGGCAUUUAUUAUUAUUUUUUUGCUUUACUUUCACAGAUUGGUGGUAAUGAGUGAUUGCUUAAAGCAAUAUACAUCCACUUUUUUGUUGUUGUUGGUUUAUUGGUUUUGUUGAAAGUGUCUCCAACGUUUUCACUGAAACAUUUUGAAUCACAUCAAUACUGUGACGUGUACUAUGAAUAGAAGAGAUGGCCAGGUUUUGGCCAGCACUGAAAGUUGACACGGGGGGAGGAAGGGGGCCCCUGAUGGAGUAAGAAUAAACAGGCACUAGUCCGACACGAUGUCAGUAAGAGUAAGAGAGAGAGAGAGAGUGAGAGCAACGCCCGUUAAAAUGG